rnacentral:misc_RNA from 1 species
AAACUUGAAUAUCAUGAAAGAGGAUAAUAAUUGAACGAAGUUGGUAGAAUGUAAAUGAAAAAUGUUGAUCAAUUGAUUGACUUUUGUAUACUUUACAUUUUCAAACCUUUAUGUAGAUUUUCUACCGUUCACUGGAAACUUUAUUGAACGUUGUUACUGCAAAGUGAGUAGAGUUUUUUUUUAUUUUUCACCUACUCCCUUAUUAUCCUUAUCCCUUGCAUUUCUUAUUGUGAAACUAAAGCAAUACAUAGAAAAGUAUAUAAUGAUUUUUCCCUACGUUUGACCUUAUUAAUAAAUAGUAGAUUUAAUGUUGUUAUUUUGUCUGAAAACUGUGUUGAUAGGGAGAAUUAGGGGUGUCUGUCUUUUAUUUUUGCAUAUUAAAUAAAUGUGUAUUUAGAUAACAGCUAUUGGGAAAUAAGAUCAUGUUAAAUCUUAAAAUUCUAUAUUAUAUGUCUAUUUGAAUUGGAAUAAGACGCAUUAAAGUCUGCCGAACUGUCAGUUAUUAAUUGGAAAAUAAUAAACGCUUAUUAAAAUUGUAUAUUAGUUGCCCUUCCCUCCCAAUCCUAUAUUUUUCACUUUCUGUUCUAUUUCCCAACACCUAUUUACCACCCCUCUACCGCCCCUCUCUUGCUCGUUGUCGUUAACGUUCUUCGACUGUGCAAAGGUGGAAUUCAGACGAAGUCAUAAAGCCGCUUUCGAGACGGAAGGAAAAGAAAAAUGAGUGAAAGUAAGAUCUCUUCAAGAAAAGUUAGCAUAGCUUCGACGACUCUUCAGAGGAAGAGGUCCAGUCUAAAGCAUAUUGCUCAAAGUGUUACAGCGAUGUUUGGUUUGAAACGAAUGUCUAGAGGAAUGUCUUUACAUAGAGUCAGCGAAAAGCCUUUAAUUAAAUUGGAGAAUACCUAUAAAACUGAACCUGACCAGAGAUUCCCUGUUACAAGAGCUCGCGAAGCUAUCUACACUCUUUUUGAACCUAUUCUUUGCGGAAAAAGAUACGAUCCCAGCGAGGCUCCUCGCCUAAUUUGCUCUUUGACGAAUAUGACCAAGAAUCGAAUGAAAGAUUUAGGAUAUGAUAGAUACAAGUAUGUCGUACAGAUUGCGUACGGUCAAGUGAAUGAUCAAGGCUUUCGAAUGGCCUCCAGAGCUUUAUGGAAUUCUCAGAGCGAUAAUUAUCUGACAGUUGAAUAUAAGAACGAUUCAAUUUUUCUCGUUUGUAUUGUUCAUGCUGUUUAUUUAGAUUGAUAAAAAGAAAAAUUUGUGUCAAAUCCUUUUCAAUUUUUCUCUUUUUCCCUUAAAUAUACCUUUCUCUUUUUUAUAUAUAUAUUUAAAAGAAUCGUAAAAAAUCACUCUUUAAAGUUGAAUACCUUUGAAUAAUAUGAUAUUUGCUAUAGCUGGGGGAAAGAAAGAAAGAAAGAGAGAGAGAGAGAGAGAGAGAGAGAGAAUAGUCCGUAUCAGUUACCAACCAAUAAGAUUACAGAUGGUGUACUUUCAACAAGAUUUUUUCAAUUAUCUUAAUAAAUAUAUACUGCAUACUAUAAAGUAUAUUUACAUUGUAACACCAUAAAAGUUUCUAUGCUAUGAGUAAAUUCUAGGAUAAGAUCAAAUGAAGAAAAAAAAGGAAACUUUAUAUUUUACUAGUUUUGAACACUCUGAAAAAGUAUCAUAGUCCUCUAUUUGAAUAAAGAUAAUAGACAAUUUCUUCUUAUCGUAUCUAAUAUAAAAGUAUUAUAAGGUGAAUUAAUGAAAGAAAAAUAAAACAACUGAAGAUGGCAUUACCAUAUUAUAAAAAUUAUAAGAAUAUUGACUAUCAU